rnacentral:rRNA from 1 species
AGGCAGCAGUAGGGAAUCUUCCGCAAUGGACGAAAGUCUGACGGAGCAACGCCGCGUGAGUGAUGAAGGCUUUCGGGUCGUAAAACUCUGUUGUUAGGGAAGAACAAGUGCUAGUUGAAUAAGCUGGCACCUUGACGGUACCUAACCAGAAAGCCACGGCUAACUACGUGCCAGCAGCCGC